GGGGAUAUAGCUCAGUUGGUAGAGUGCUUACUUGAAAUGCACAAGGCCCUGGGUUCAAUCCCCAGCUACCCA
rfam:Ictidomys tridecemlineatus contig029517, whole genome shotgun sequence.